rnacentral:rRNA from 1 species
GAGUUUGAUCUUGGCUCAGAUUGAACGCUGGCGGCAUGCCUUACACAUGCAAGUCGAACGGCAGCACGGGAGCUUGCUCCUGGUGGCGAGUGGCGAACGGGUGAGUAAUGCAUCGGAACGUAUCCUGGAGUGGGGGAUAACGUAGCGAAAGUUACGCUAAUACCGCAUAUUCUGUGAGCAGGAAAGCGGGGGACCUUCGGGCCUCGCGCUCUUGGAGCGGCCGAUGUCGGAUUAGCUAGUUGGUGAGGUAAAGGCUCACCAAGGCGACGAUCCGUAGCAGGUCUGAGAGGAUGAUCUGCCACACUGGAACUGAGACACGGUCCAGACUCCUACGGGAGGCAGCAGUGGGGAAUUUUGGACAAUGGGGGCAACCCUGAUCCAGCCAUGCCGCGUGAGUGAAGAAGGCCUUCGGUGUAAG